CCUACGGGAGGCAGCAGUGGGGAAUAUUGGACAAUGGGGGCAACCCUGAUCCAGCCAUGCCGCGUGUGUGAAGAAGGCCCUCGGGUUGUAAAGCACUUUCAGUGAGGAAGAACGCCUGGUGGUUAAUACCCAUCAGGAAAGACAUCACUCACAGAAGAAGCACCGGCUAACUCCGUGCCAGCAGCCGCGGUAAUACGGAGGGUGCGAGCGUUAAUCGGAAUUACUGGGCGUAAAGCGCGCGUAGGUGGCUUGAUAAGCCGGUUGUGAAAGCCCCGGGCUCAACCUGGGAACGGCAUCCGGAACUGUCAAGCUAGAGUGCAGGAGAGGAAGGUAGAAUUCCCGGUGUAGCGGUGAAAUGCGUAGAGGUCGGGAGGAAUACCAGUGGCGAAGGCAGCCUUCUGGACUGACACUGACACUGAGGUGCGAAAGCGUGGGUAGCAAACAGGAUUAGAUACCCUGGUAGUC
rnacentral:rRNA from 1 species